GCCCUCGAGGUGUAACGGUAGCACACUUGGUACGUAUUCGAGAGGUUCGUGGUUCGAGUCCCGGCGAGGACA
rnacentral:tRNA from 1 species